UUAGCUACCAUCUUGGCAUAUGCACAUCAAGUUCCUCGAAACAGAGAGAAUUAGUUUCUUGGUCUGACUCUUAAUGCUGUGUGUGUAUGUAAAGCCUACCAUAGGUUUGAGGAAAGUCCUCUGUGGACGUUGUGUGAUUGGAAGAUACAAGAUGGUGACUUAUGUAACCCCAAGACUUUCACUGGAUUUUUCAUUACGUCUUUCAUGCAUAUGAUUUUCAAUUGUGAUGGCCCUAAAAGUCCAGACGGAGGACAUGGGGAACCAGCUUUGCGGUGGUGGCCACCUGUAACAGGUGAUGUUAAAGGCACUAAAUUGCUGCUAAGACGCAUAGAAACACUGUACAUGAACAACCAUAUUAAUUGGAUGUUUGGAUGCUAUGGAGUUUGCUUGGGAUAUUGGUGUAUUUCAGAUUGUGCUUAAAA